UGAUGAAUAAAUGGUGGGUAAAUACAUAAGUGGGUGGGUGACGGGAUGAAUGGAUGACGGCUAGAUAGACAAGUAGAUGGAUAGAUGGAUGCGUAGGUAGACAGAGCUGUGGGUUGAUGGAUGAAUGCUAGGUAGAUAAAUAAAUGGGUGGGUGAUAAGAUGGAUGAUGGAUAGACAAGUAGAUGGACAGAUGGAUGGGUAGGUAGAUAGAUGGGUGGGUCGAUGGAUGAAUGGUAGGGUAGAUGGGUGGAUAGAUGGGUGGAUGGACGGUUGGUAGGGUAGGUAUAUAAAUGGAUGGAUGAAUAGAUAGAUGGAUAGAUGAAUGGAUGGAUCCAUCCACCAUUUCAGGCUAGAUCAGAAACUGCGGGCUUCCACAGAGACCCGUAAAAACCUACUUACUGCUGGAGCCACCUCUGUGGGGUGAAAAUGGACUGCAUGGUUUGUUAGCAAACGUACUCUUGACUUUAAAUGCAAUCCCCUGAGGCCGGGUCUCCAGCUAUGAGGAGGGUGAUGCUUGCGGGUCCCCCGUCCCCUUCACUGUGGAAAUGGAGCCUCUCCUUGGGGUGCAGUUGCUGAAUCAGGUGGAGGUGGGCUCCUGGGGGUGAGGGUUCUCCUCCCUGGAGUAGUUCAGCAGAAGGCGAACUCCGCAGACACACGCCCCCCACACCACGGUCCAACCAGAGGCUUGGUGAGUGGGUUGGAACCCACAAGCCUUUGGGACCUGAGGGUUCCCUGAGUACCUGCCCAUCAGUACUUAGAGAAGCAUCCGUGUUCUUGUCAGUGGACCUUCUGCAGAGUCAGGACAGGGCAAGGCAGCCUUCAGGAAGCGUGAGCCCAGCCCUGAGCAUCCCUCCCAGAAGAAGAGUUUCCAGUCAGAAGGAGGAGCCAGCAGGUGGUGGAGGGAUCCAGGAGAGAGUGCUGUGGGCGCCCGAGAAUGAGACGGGACCAGGACACGGAGGCGGCCAUCAGACUGUUCGUAAAUAGAUGGAAACCCGAUCUCCAACGCUGACCUCACUUCUUACAGUGUCUAAACCUCACAGCAUCCUGCCGUCCUGCCGUCUGAGUCUGCAGUGAGCGGCCAACACCGAGCCCCUCCACCACCCCGGUGCUGCUCACCACAAGUGAACCUGAGCAACGCCUGCAGGCUGGCCUCUGGAGCUCAGCUACAGCCCGAGGGCCAGGAGUCACCUGAGUCCUCGUGGUCUGUGUUGGUCUGGGAGCUGGCAGGGCAGGAGGGGAAAGCCCAGCGGGUGGGGAAGUGGCUGCAGCCCUCACCCCCUCCUCCAAGUCCUGGCUCAAUGCAGUUAGACCUGGGCCUGGGAGCUCAGCUCCAACACGAUUUACAAUUCAAUUGUGAAAUGGGAUAAAAAUGAGAUAUCCCUCUUCGGGCCUCUCAAUUUUCUCUGUUAAAGCUCCCGUUCCUCCUAGUAAAUUUCUCUAUUUCUAGAUGA